GACGAACGCUGGCGGCGUGCUUAACACAUGCAAGUCGAACGGAAAGGCCUGCUUUCCCUUGUGGAUUGCGGGUACUCGAGUGGCGAACGGGUGAGUAACACGUGAGUGAUCUGCCCCCAACUUGGGUAUAAGCCUGGGAAACUGGGUCUAAUUCCCGAUAGGACUGCAGGGUGGUGCCUGUGGUGGAAAACGACUUUCUAGUGGUUGGGGAUGAGCUCGCGGCCUAUCAGCUUGUUGGUGGGGUAAUGGCCUACCAAGGCGGCGACGGGUAGCCGGCCUGAGAGGGUGGACGGCCACAUUGGGACUGAGAUACGGCCCAGACUCCUACGGGAGGCAGCAGUGGGGAAUAUUGCACAAUGGGCGGAAGCCUGAUGCAGCGACGCCGCGUGGGGGAUGACGGCCUUCGGGUUGUAAACUCCUUUCGACCGCGAGGAAGCCACCUGGCUGGAAGGGUGGUGACGGUAGUGGUAGAAGAAGCACCGGCUAACUACGUG
rnacentral:rRNA from 1 species